GAGUAGUCAACCUGCCUAUACUGGUGGAUGAGAUGCAACUUACAUAAUAAAAAUGGAAGCAUUUCAGGCAAUAUGACAGAGCCAUGUGUAGAUGAAGAAGGAUUUUCAGCACCUCUGCAGGAAACUGGAAUUGGCUAAUGGUUCCUCAGUAUAUGGAGAGAACUGAUUUCAUCAUCCUCAGCAAAGUUUCCAGUGCUGCAGGAAUUCGAGCUUUACAGCUUUGCUCCUACAAUUGUCAGGAGCCUCUUGCGGGAUGGCAAGUACAGAGAAGACUGAAGAAAGACAUAUUCCAGUCACCCCCAAGUUCAUUUCCACUUCAGGCUGAGGGCCUGCCGGCCGAGGGAAACUCUGUCUCUUCCAAUUUGGUUUGAAUUGAGACCAUCCAUCCCGGUCGAACUGCAUUCCAGGCUUUUUUCUUGCUGAUGUCAAAAGGCUGAAUGUGGACUUCAGGACGGCUUGAGGGCUGUCUUGCCUGCUAACACUGAUUUUAUGAUAUGCUAAACAUAACAUUCAAUAGCUAUUACUUCCACUGUCAGAAAAACAACUUGAGCUAUCUAUCUUCCUCUUCAGACUAUAUUACAUUUCUCCCUGCAAAU
rnacentral:lncRNA from 1 species